rnacentral:misc_RNA from 1 species
CUUGAAGACUAAGAAUGAGAUCCAAGGGUGAAGAAAAGGAAUGCUACAGAGACCCGAGGGAACCUAUCCUAUCAACUUCGAAUUCUAUGAUUCCCAGUUCGUCUGUCAGCUUUUCUCGUUCUGAACUCCACUUUUUGGAUUUGAGGAAGGGCUGAAGGUAACUUAAAAUCCUUUUCCGACUAUUCUUCUUGGUUGUGAUCGACCCCGCGAUGAGUCUUUACUUAUUCGAAAAUGCGCUAUAUCCAAUUCUUUUAUAUACCCACAUGGGAUCCUCCCUGAAACUCUUGCC